rnacentral:rRNA from 1 species
UACGAGGGGGGCGAGCGUUUGUUCGGAAUUAUUGGGGCGGUAAAGAGCUCGUAGGCGGCUCGUUGCGUCGGCUGUCGAAAACCCGCGAGCUCAACUGUGGGCUUGCAGCUGAUACGGGCGGGCUGGAGUUCGGUGAGGGGAGACUGGAAUUCCUGGUGUAGCGGUGAAAUGCGCGAUAUCAGGAGGAACACCAACGGCGAAGGCAGCCCGCUGGGACGGUACUGACGCUAAGGCGCGAAAGCGUGGGGAGCGAACGAGG